rnacentral:rRNA from 1 species
AUGCAGUCGAACGGAAGGUCUCUUCGGAGAUACUCGAGUGGCGAACGGGUGAGUAACACGUGGGUGAUCUGCCCUGCACUUCGGGAUAAGCCUGGGAAACUGGGUCUAAUACCGGAUAGGACCACGGGAUGCAUGUCUUGUGGUGGAAAGCGCUUUAGCGGUGUGGGAUGAGCCCGCGGCCUAUCAGCUUGUUGGUGGGGUGACGGCCUACCAAGGCGACGACGGGUAGCCGGCCUGAGAGGGUGUCCGGCCACACUGGGACUGAGAUACGGCCCAGACUCCUACGGGAGGCAGCAGUGGGGAAUAUUGCACAAUGGGCGCAAGCCUGAUGCAGCGACGCCGCGUGGGGGAUGACGGCCUUCGGGUUGUAAACCUCUUUCACCAUCGACGAAGGUCCGGGUUCUCUCGGAUUGACGGUAGGUGGAGAAGAAGCACCGGCCAACUACGUGCCAGCAGCCGCGGUAAUACGUAGGGUGCGAGCGUUGUCCGGAAUUACUGGGCGUAAAGAGCUCGUAGGUGGUUUGUCGCGUUGUUCGUGAAAUCUCACGGCUUAACUGUGAGCGUGCGGGCGAUACGGGCAGACUAGAGUACUGCAGGGGAGACUGGAAUUCCUGGUGUAGCGGUGGAAUGCGCAGAUAUCAGGAGGAACACCGGUGGCGAAGGCGGGUCUCUGGGCAGUAACUGACGCUGAGGAGCGAAAGCGUGGGGAGCGAACAGGAUUAGAUACCCUGGUAGUCCACGCCGUAAACGGUGGGUACUAGGUGUGGGUGUCCUUCCUUGGGAUCCGUGCCGUAGCUAACGCAUUAAGUACACCUCCUGGGGAGUACAGCCGCAAGGCUGAGACUCUUAAGAAUUGGAGUUGGCGCGCACCAACGGGCGGAGCAUGUGGAUUA